GGAUAGCUCAGUUGGUUAGAGUGUGGUGCUGAUAAUUUCAAGGAUGCAAGUUUGAUCCCUGCAUGAAACA